rnacentral:piRNA from 1 species
GGGAACGAGAAGACACUCAUGUAGGAGUCGGC